rnacentral:rRNA from 1 species
AUUGAACGCUGGCGGCAGGCCUAACACAUGCAAGUCGAACGGGUGGCGGACGUGUGAGUAAUGUCUGGGCAACUGCCUGAUGGAGGGGGAUAACUACUGGAAACGGUAGCUACUACCGCCUACCAUCAGCUGUGCCCAGAUGGGAUUAGCUUGUUGUGGGGGUAACGGCUCACCAAGGCGACGAACCCUAGCUGGUCUGAGAGGAUGACCAGCCACACUGGAACUGAGACACGGUCCAGACUCCUACGGGAGGCAGCAGUGGGGAAUAUUGGACAAUGGGCGAAAGCCUGAUGCAGCCAUGCCGCGUGUGUGAAGAAGGCCUUCGGAUUGUAAAGUACUUUAAGCGGGGAGGCGUUACCAACAGAAGAAGCACCGGCUAACUCCGUGCCAGCAGCCGCGAUAAUUC